rnacentral:rRNA from 1 species
GCGGCAGGCCUUAUACAUGCAAGUCGAGGGGCAGCAUAGAUUGCUUGCAAUCUGAUGGCGACCGGCGAACGGGUGCGUAACGCGUAUGCAACUUACCUUUUACUAGGAGAUAGCCAAGAGAAAUUUUGAUUAAUAUCCUAUACAAUUAUUUUUUCGCAUGAAUUAAUAAUAAAAGCUCAGGCGGUAAAAGAUGGGCAUGCGUCCUAUUAGCUAGUAGGUGAGGUAAAGGCUCACCUAAGCAACGAUAGGUAGGGGUCCUGAGAGGGAGAUCCCCCACACUGGUACUGAGACACGGACCAGACUUCUACGGAAGGCAGCAGUAAGGAAUAUUGGACAAUGGAGGCAACUCUGAUCCAGCCAUGCCGCGUGCAGGAAGACGGCCUUAUGGGUUGUAAACUGCUUUUAUACAGGAAGAAACCUGCUCACGUGUGAGCAGCUGACGGUACUGUAAGAAUAAGGAUCGGCUAACUCCGUGCCAGCAGCCGCGGUAAUACGGAGGAUCCAAGCGUUAUCCGGAAUUAUUGGGUUUAAAGGGUCCGCAGGCUGUUUGUUAAGUCAGAGGUGAAAUCCUACCGCUCAACGGUAGAACUGCCUUUGAUACUGACAAACUUGAGUUAUUGUGAAGUAAUUAGAAUGUGUAGUGUAGCGGUGAAAUGCAUAGAUAUUACACAGAAUACCGAUUGCGAAAGCAGAUUACUAACAAUAUACUGACGCUGAGGGACGAAAGCGUAGGUAGCGAACAGGAUUAGAUACCCUGGUAGUCUACGCCGUAAACGAUGGUCACUAGCUGUUCGAUAUACAUUGGUAUGUUGAGUGGCUAAGCGAAAGUGAUAAGUGACCCACCUGGGGAGUACGCUC